rnacentral:misc_RNA from 1 species
GUAGCAUAAUAAGUCUGCAGGAACAAUGAUUCCUUCCGCAGUGUACACUUAUUGAAGCCUUUGCAGCCACGCAAGUGGUAGACCCCAGCGACUUUAUAAAAACAAUUCGGCGUCGUGAUGCAAGUCAGCACCGAUGAUAUCGGGCCCAGUUGUUGGGCCUGCUGGCGACACUUUCGAAUUGACGGGGAUACCCUAAAGCCUUGUCACACCAACCCGUGUAGGGAAACCUAACGGGGGCCUGUGCUAACUA